UGGUGGAGUGAUUUGUCUGGUUAAUUGCGAUAACGAACGAGACCUUAACCUGCUAAAUAGUCAGGCCAGCUUCGGCUGGUCGCAGGCUUCUUAGAGGGACUAUCGGCUUCAAGCCGAUGGAAGUUUGAGGCAAUAACA
rnacentral:rRNA from 1 species